GAAUGAAUGAGAAAAAUAAUUCAUCCUUGUCCUCAAAAUCAUACACUGUGAAUUUAUAAGUGAACUUGAACUGUGGUUAUUGCCUGGAUGUGGCAUUCAAAUGCGACAGACUGACCACUGGUUGUAGAGAUGUCUUGAAGAUGCUGAAGAACAAACAGAAUUCAUAGAAUAGAGAAAACUCCUUCACCAUAUGCGAUGAUUUGAGAUGCCUGCUGUAGUUCAGCUCAGAUACAAUUUUUAUUCAAGAGGAUUUCUCUGGUGGUACCAUGAGUCAUAUACUGUGCUGGCUGCAAGGCAGAAUGAGGAAGACCUAGCUAGCUUCUUCCCUCUGGAACCUCACAGACCUAGAAGACAACACUUACAACAAAUACAAAUUGGUAUCCCAUGAAUACAUUAAGGUGAUGUGAACCAAGGUUUUGAGCACUCACUGGGAAACAGGUGUCAUAACGUGGGGCACUCAAGAAAAAAGACUUUUGUGAUGGCUCUAAAGGAAAAAUAGGGAUAAAACCAUUUGAGAAGGUGAAGGGAAUCUCUGACAACGGAAACAUCAAAGGCAAAGAGAUAAUGAACAAUAUCAUUUGCUAUUUACUAAGUCUUUACUAAGUGUUCAGCACAAAGCCAGGUGCUUUGCAUACAUUUAUAUCAUUGGGCUCUCACAAAAAACCUUUGAAAAUGAGUCUUACUAUGCUCUCCAAUUUACAGAUUAGGAAACUGAGGCUUCAAGAAAUGCCAUAACUUGCCCAAGUUUUCUUAAUGUGUCAGACCUGGGAUUAUAAUCAAAAUCUGUCUGAUUCUAAAGCCUAACUGUUAAUCCUUAAAGUACUGAAGGAAACUUGUGUUAAGAAUAUAGUAGGGUGAGAGCAAAGUGUAGCAGAAGAGAAGGCAGGGAGAGUUUGUAAAGGCCAGACUGUGAAGGGUUUUAUGUGUCAAAUAUCCAUGAAUUUGUUCUUUAUCUACUUUUUAUCCCUAGUCUUCUAACUCCAAGCGAGAAAACCUCUAAUUUUUCUCUCUUAACUCUCAAUGCUUAAUACUUAUAUUUCACUUAGUUAUAAUUAUGUUCUUUACUUGUUUCCUUCUCUGCACCACUAGGCAACAAAGUGCUUAUCAAAGGUCUUCUCACAGUACCCUUCUCAUUUAGUGAAAUGUGCACUACUCAUUUAGUGAAUGAAUGAAUGAAUGAAUGAAUGAGUGAAACUAAAGGGAUACCUGUGGGUAGUGGAAAGCAUAGACACUGGAUUUUGCGGUUCUGUGUCAAAGAAGUUAUGGUUGCCUUGGAGAAAUUGGAAACUGUCAGAUUAAUUUUAGGUCAUACCUAUAUGCCAGUUGAAAAUCAUAUAACCCCAGCAUUGCCCCUCAGGUUUCAGUGAGUGUGACAUCAUUAUGGGCCAACUGGGCUUCCUUCUAAAACUUGUAAGAAAAUUUGGGCCGAUCCUAAAAUUUGUAUGGAACCACAAAAGACCCCGAA